GGCCCGGAAAAGAAAAGGACGAGCAAGCAGCGAGGUUCACCAGAAGUCGAGUAGUCGGGAAAGCCGAGAGAAGCCGUGACCAACGAGGAGAAGUCGGAAAGCCGAGAGAAGCCGUGAGCAGCUGUGAGCAGCGAGGAGCAGUUGAGAAGAGUAGCGGAAGGCAGUACAGCGGACGAGCCAGCCUGAGAAACGGAGAAACAGGGGAGAAGCCGUGAGAGGACCAGGCACGGAGGAGACACAAGCAGACACCAGUGAAGUGUGGGACGCCAGCAGCAGAGUUCAGAGUGUUACAACAAGACGGUACAGCAGCGGCAGAGUGAGGAGCUCUGCCUCGCCGCGUAUCCGGCCAAAGAGUGGAGAGCGGCUCGGUGACGGACACGGUCCACCGACAGAAAAAGACAGCCUGCAUUGGACUUCUUUUUAAACCCCGUUUUUAGCGUGGACCCUUGGCCCUGGGUAUUUUAGCUGAAUUCUUUUAUUGACUUUUAGACAGGUGCAGCAGAUUUUAGUGGACUCAUUUUAAAAGGACUGUUUUAGUAAUAAAAAAGAACUUGUUUUGCACCGGAAAAAGUUUGUUCCUCCUCCUUGGUUUUUAACACAGUGCUCACCACUUGAUGUCCAAGGACCUUUAAAAAAUGUUCUAAUAAUCCCUCAUUUAAUUUUUAACCCACCUACAUUACAUACAUAACACCUAUAAAAGAAACAUAUGAGCUUUAGUUUGGCAAUCAUACGUUACACUUCCUCUGUUUGGUGUGUGGAUAGCUGAUAUACUGUUAUGGUUACUCAGUCUUGGUAAGUCACCAAAUAAAAGCUACUUUAUUUGGGGUUGUGACCUCUU